rnacentral:rRNA from 14 species
UGUCUUUUUGAAAAUAAUAUAAAGUCUAAUCUGCCCACUGAUUUUAUAUUAAAGGGCUGCAGUAUUUUGACUGUACAAAGGUAGCAUAAUCAUUAGUCAUUUAAUUGAUGACUUGUAUGAAAGAUUGGAUGAAAUAUAAACUGUCUCUUAAUUAUUAAUAUAAAACUUAAUUUUUUAAUUAAAAAGUUAAAAUAAUUUAAAAAGACGAGAAGACCCUAUAGAGUUUUAUAUUUAAAUUAAUUAAGAUUAUUUAAAAUUUAAAAUUAAAAUUAAUUUAUUUAUUAUAUUGGGGUGAUAGAAAAAUAUAUAUAACUUUUUUUAUAUAAAAACAUUUAUAAGUGAUUAAAUGAUCCAAUAAUAUUGAUUAUAAGAAAAAAUUACCUUAGGGAUAACAGCGUAAUUUUUUUUUUUAGUUCAUAUAAAAAAAAGAGUUUGCGACCUCGAUGUUGGAUUAAGAUAAAAUUUAAAUGUAGAAG